rnacentral:rRNA from 1 species
UACGUAGGGUGCAAGCGUUAAUCGGAAUUACUGGGCGUAAAGCGUGCGCAGGCGGUUAUGUAAGACAGGUGGGAAAUCCCCGGGCUUAACCUGGGAACUGCAUUUGUGACUGCAUAGCUAGAGUACGGUAGAGGGGGAUGGAAUUCCGCGUGUAGCAGUGUAAUGCGUAGAUAUGCGGAGGAACACCGAUGGCGAAGGCAAUCCCCUGGACCUGUACUGACGCUCAUGCACGAAAGCGUGGGGAGCAAACAGG